UCCACUGAGUGACCUCUACAGUCAGCACUGU
rnacentral:piRNA from 1 species